AUGCUGGUGUUUCUGCUGCUUCUGGGACCCGGCUCUGGGCUCAGUGCUCUCGUCUCUCAACAACCCAGCAGGGCUAUCCGUAAGAGUGGAGCGUCUGUGGCCAUCCAGUGCCGUUCAGUGGGCUUUCAAGCCACAACCGUGUUUUGGUAUCGUCAGUUCCCAAAACAGGGCCUCGUGCUGAUGGCCACUGGUAACGUGGGCUCUGAUGCCACAUACGAACAAGGUUAUACCAAGGCCAAGUACCCCAUCAGCCACCCAGACUCCACAUUUUCAUCUCUGAUGGUGACAGAUGUGCAUCCUGCAGACAGCAGCCUCUACUUCUGUGGUGCCAGAGACACAGUGCUGGGCAGAGAUCAGAGACCCAAACAAGAACCUUUGUAA